rnacentral:miRNA from 1 species
GACGUCGAUAUUCGACGUCAUAAACACGGUCAACUUUGGUGUUUAUGACGUCGAUAUUCGACGUCAUAAACACGGUCAACUUUGGUGUUUAUGACGUCGAUAUUCGACGUCAUAAACCCGGUCAACUUUGGUGUUUAUGACGUCGAUAUUCGACGUC